rnacentral:lncRNA from 1 species
GAGAGCUUAGGUGUCCUGUCUGAGAGUUCAGUGAACAGUGUCUUGGAAGAACCUGAGUAGAGUGUGUGUGAUAUCUUGGAAGGAUUAGAAAUUGGAGUAAUGAUCAUUUAUCUUGGUAAAAAGCCCUUAGCUUCUGUGUUAUUCACAGUUCUCCAGAGAGCAGACCAAUGGGAAAUAUAUCUAUAUCGAUAUAUGCAUAUAAAAUAAGAAAUUAGCUCAUGUGAUUAUGGAGGCUGAGAAAUCCCACGACCUGCCAUCUACAAGUUGGACUAGACUCUAAGCUCCUUGAACAAGGCAGACUAGGAAAGCUGGUGGUGUACUUCCAGUAUGAGCCCGAAGGCCUGAGAACUAGAGGAGCCAAUGGUGUAACUCCCAGUCUGAGUGCAGUAGAGGAUCAGAAGAGAUGUCCCAGCUCCAGCAGUGAGGGAGAAAAGAAGGACAAAUUCCUUCCUCUGCAUAUUGUUCUAUUCAGACCCUCAAUAGGUUAAAUGAUGCCCACUCUCAUUAAAGAGGACCAUCUACUUUACGGAACUGCUAAGUUUGACAUACAAAGGACCAAUGGGAUACAUUGCUGAUGAAGGAGAAGGAGGUCUAACCACUUUGAAAAACAAUUUGAAAUUCAACUGUGCAGGUGAGCAUAAUAAGCAUAACCCAUAACCCAGGAAU